AACCUCUGGCACUGGGCCAAGAGACACCUUGUUGUAAGUAUUGUUCUUAUAUCAGUCAGGGGCAGAGCUGAUGGUGCUUGGGGUGUAGCAUGAAAGCCAGCACCGUCUUAUGCCUAGGACAUCCAA
rnacentral:snoRNA from 1 species